GUGUCAGCAGCCGCGGUAAUACGUAGGGUGCGAGCGUUAAUCGGAAUUACUGGGCGUAAAGCGUGCGCAGGCGGUUUUGUAAGCCAGAUGUGAAAUCCCCGGGCUCAACCUGGGAACUGCAUUUGUGACUGCAUCGCUGGAGUGCGGCAGAGGGGGAUGGAAUUCCGCGUGUAGCAGUGAAAUGCGUAGAGAUGUGGAGGAACACCGAUGGCGAAGGCAGCCCCCUGGGCUAACACUGACGCUCAUGCACGAAAGCGUGGGGAGCAAACAGGAUUAGAUACCCUGGUAGUCCACGCCCUAAACGAUGUCAACUGGUUGUUGGGGAAGGAAACUUCCUUAGUAACGAAGCUAACGCGUGAAGUUGACCGCCUGGGGAGUACGGCCGCAAGGUUAAAACUCAAAUGAAUUGACGG
rnacentral:rRNA from 1 species